rnacentral:rRNA from 1 species
GACGAACCGAGCGAACGUUGUUCGGAAUCACUGGGCUUAAAGGGCGCGUAGGCGGGCUGCCAAGUUUGGGGUGAAAUCCUCCGGCUCAACCGGGGAAGGGCCUCGAAUACUGGCGGUCUGGAGGGAGGUAGGGGCGUGCGGAACUGUAGGUGGAGCGGUGAAAUGCGUUGAUAUCUACAGGAACACCAAUGGCGAAGGCAGCUCGCUGGGACGGUACUGACGCUGAGACGCGAAAGCGUGGGGAGCAAACAGG